rnacentral:rRNA from 1 species
UGAAACUGCGAACGGCUCAGUAAAUCAGUUAUAGUUUAUUUGAUAGUACAUUAUUACUACUUGGAUAACCGUGGAAAUUCUGGAGCUAAUACAUGCUAAAAAUCCCGACUUCUGGAAGGGAUGUAUUUAUUAGAUAAAAAACCAAUGC